rnacentral:rRNA from 1 species
AGCGAACGCUGGCGGCAUGCUUAACACAUGCAAGUCGCACGGUCAGCAAUGGCAGUGGCGGACGGGUGAGUAACGCGUAGGAAUUUAUCUUCUGGUGGGGGACAACCGUGGGAAACUACGGCUAAUACCGCAUGAUGCCUGAGGGCCAAAGGUUGCAAGACCGCCUGGAGAGGAGCCUGCGUCUGAUUAGCUUGUUGGUGGGGUAAAGGCCUACCAAGGCUAUGAUCAGUAGCUGGUCUGAGAGGAUGAUCAGCCACAUUGGGACUGAGACACGGCC